GGCCGCUUGGCCCAAUGGUAAGGCGUCUGACUACGACGGAACAUGUGCAAGCAUGAAUCGUUCAGGUUAUCAGGAGAUUCUGGGUUCGAGCCCCAGGGUGGUCA